GAUGUAGCCAAGUGGAUCAAGGCAGUGGAUUGUGAAUC
rnacentral:tRNA from 1 species